CGAUGAACCACUUCGGUGGGGAUUAGUGGCGAACGGGUGAGUAACACGUGGGCAAUCUGCCCUGCACUCUGGGACAAGCCCUGGAAACGGGGUCUAAUACCGGAUACUGACCCGCUUGGGCAUCCAAGCGGUUCGAAAGCUCCGGCGGUGCAGGAUGAGCCCGCGGCCUAUCAGCUUGUUGGUGAGGUAAUGGCUCACCAAGGCGACGACGGGUAGCCGGCCUGAGAGGGCGACCGGCCACACUGGGACUGAGACACGGCCCAGACUCCUACGGGAGGCAGCAGUGGGGAAUAUUGCACAAUGGGCGAAAGCCUGAUGCAGCGACGCCGCGUGAGGGAUGACGGCCUUCGGGUUGUAAACCUCUUUCAGCAGGGAAGAAGCGAAAGUGACGGUACCUGCAGAAGAAGCGCCGGCUAACUACGUGCCAGCAGCCGCGGUAAUACGUAGGGCGCGAGCGUUGUCCGGAAUUAUUGGGCGUAAAGAGCUCGUAGGCGGCUUGUCACGUCGGUUGUGAAAGCCCGGGGCUUAACCCCGGGUCUGCAGUCGAUACGGGCAGGCUAGAGUUCGGUAGGGGAGAUCGGAAUUCCUGGUGUAGCGGUGAAAUGCGCAGAUAUCAGGAGGAACACCGGUGGCGAAGGCGGAUCUCUGGGCCGAUACUGACGCUGAGGAGCGAAAGCGUGGGGGAGCGAACAGGAUUAGAUACCCUGGUAGUCCACGCCGUAAACGGUGGGCACUAGGUGUGGGCGACAUUCCACGUCGUCCGUGCCGCAGCUAACGCAUUAAGUGCCCCGCCUGGGGAGUACGGCCGCAAGGCUAAAACUCAAAGGAAUU
rnacentral:rRNA from 1 species